rnacentral:rRNA from 1 species
UACAGAGGUCUCAAGCGUUGUUCGGAUUCAUUGGGCGUAAAGGGUGUGUAGGUGGCGCCGUUAGUCGGGUGUGAAAUCUUGGAGCUUAACUCCGAAACUGCAUUCGAUACUGCCGUGCUUGAGGACUGGAGAGGAGACUGGAAUUUACGGUGUAGCGGUGAAAUGCGUAGAUAUCGUAAGGAAGACCAGUGGCGAAGGCGGGUCUCUGGACAGUUCCUGACGCUGAGGCACGAAGGUCAGGGAGCAAACGGG